GACUAACAGCUUUGACUACACUUUGAGCACAAAGUAAACCGCCUCUUACGAAGUUUUAGGGGAAUCAGAAACAUAUGGAACCUAGCUUUACAGAAAUGUUAUGCACAUUAGAAUUCUAAACAACCACUCAAGCUAACUCUAGUGUCGUCGCCUGUUAAAACUAACAAAUAAAGUUUAUUGUAUUAUUAAAAAUGUGACAACUGACUUUGGAGUUUAGGUUUAUUCUCUUCGUCAAUUAUGGUCAAGUGACAAGUUGAACAAAAAACCUCGUCCCCCUUCCUUACUGGUGUGUGGGCAAUUUAAGCUCCGGCCGGCACAUUCUUGCGAGGGGCCCGCUUCUCCCGCUUUAGAAUUUACUAAACAAAAAUUACUGCCGCUCGUCUUGAAAGCAAGUUACCCACACUUCAGUUCUUUGGGCGUUAUUUUAUUGGCAACAUCUUUCCGUUCACUAUCUUGUUGACGUUAACCGCAACUUCACUAAAGAACGUCCCAUAGUUGAAUACAAUUGAAUCCGUUAUAAGGAUACACAAGUUCGACACUAACUGUUGGAAGAGUCCAAUG